UAGAUUAAGGCCAGUUGAUUAGGGCAUUUAGCUGUUAACUAAAUUUUUGUGGGUUUAAGUCCCAUUAAUCUAG
rnacentral:tRNA from 1 species